rnacentral:misc_RNA from 1 species
UACGGAGGGGGCAAGCGUUAUUCGGAAUUAUUGGGCGUAAAGGGCGCGCAGGCGGCCUAGCAAGUCUCGGGUGAAAUCCCUCGGCUCAACCUAGGAAUGGCCUUGGAUACUGCCUGGCUCGAGGCCGGGAGGGGGUAGCGGAAUUCCCAGUGUAGCGGUGAAAUGCGUAGAUAUUGGGAGGAACACCAGUGGCGAAGGCGGCUACCUGGACCGGUUCUGACGCUGAGGCGCGAAAGCGUGGGGAGCAAACAGG